CAAUAGCGUAUAUUUAAGUUGUUGCAGUUAAAAAGCUCGUAGUUGGAUUUCGGGUAGGAUUUGCCGGUCCGUCUUUGAGAUGUGUACUGGUAAGUCCUAUCUUCUUGUCGGGGACCAGCUCCUGGGCUUCACUGUCCGGGACUGGGAGCCGACGAAGUUACUUUGAGUAAAUUAGAGUGUUCAAAGCAAGCCUACGCUCUGAAUAUAUUAGCAUGGAAUAACACGAUAGGACUCUGGCUUAUCUUGUUGGUCUGUGAGACCAGAGUAAUGAUUAAGAGGGACAGUCGGGGACAUUCGUAUUUCAUUUUCAGAGGUGAAAUUCUUGGAUUUAUGAAAGACGAACUUCUGCGAAAGCAUUUGUCAAGGAUGUUUUCAUUAA
rnacentral:rRNA from 1 species